rnacentral:rRNA from 1 species
AGUGAACGCUGGCGGUAGGCCUAACACAUGCAAGUCGAACGGCAGCACAGGAGAGCUUGCUCUCUGGGUGGCGAGUGGCGGACGGGUGAGGAAUACAUCGGAAUCUACCCUGUCGUGGGGGAUAACGCAGGGAAACUUACGCUAAUACCGCAUACGACCUACGGGUGAAAGCAGGGGACCUUCGGGCCUUGCGCGAUUGAAUGAGCCGAUGUCGGAUUAGCUAGUUGGCGGGGUAAGGGCCCACCAAGGCGACGAUCCGUAGCUGGUCUGAGAGGAUGAUCAGCCACACUGGAACUGAGACACGGUCCAGACUCCUACGGGAGGCAGCAGUGGGGAAUAUUGGACAAUGGGCGCAAGCCUGAUUCAGCCAUACCGCGUGGGUGAAGAAGGCCUUCGGAUUGUAAAGCCCUUUUGUUGGGAAAGAAAUCCAGCUGGCUAAUACCCGGUUGGGAUGACGGUACCCAAAGAAUAAGCACCGGCUAACUUCGUGCCAGCCGCCGCAGUAA